rnacentral:rRNA from 1 species
AUACGUAGGGGGCGAGCGUUGUCCGGAAUGAUUGGGCGUAAAGGGCGCGUAGGCGGCCCGGUAAGUCUGGAGUGAAAGUCCUGUUUUUAAGAUGGGAAUUGCUUUGGAUACUGUCAGGCUUGAGUGCAGGAGAGGUAAGUGGAAUUCCCAGUGUAGCGGUGAAAUGCGUAGAGAUUGGGAGGAACACCAGUGGCGAAGGCGACUUACUGGACUGUAACUGACGCUGAGGCGCGAAAGUGUGGGGAGCAAACAGGAUUAGAUACCCUGGUAGUCCACACUGUAAACGAUGAAUGCUAGGUGUAGGGGGUAUCGACCCCUUCUGUGCCGCAGUCAACACAAUAAGCAUUCCGCCUGGGGAGUACGGCCGCAAGGUUGAAACUCAAAUGAAUCGACGGGG